GGGAGUAGUUCAAUGGUAGAACCUUAGCCUUCCAAGCUAAUGACGCGGGUUCGAUUCCCGUCUCCC
rnacentral:tRNA from 1 species